CUGAAAAAAGUGCACAACGCAUGUCAUUACUCUAAAGAAGUUUUUAUAUUUGAUCUAACUCAAAAAAAUACAUUUUCUGUCCAGCCAUCAGUUUUAUGUAAAAAAUGUGUUUGAUUUAAAUUAAAAGUAAGUCCUGUUGGUGUAAAGUAAAUAAAUUUCUGUAAAUUAAAGUAAAAAUAUUAGUUUCCAUUGUCACGUGACUUACGUAACGUCAUCCUGGUCGUGCGUGAGGACGUUCAGCUGAAGUUCAGCUUUCCGCCAUCUUGUUAUACACUGCACCGAUGGAUGAACUCCGCGUCGUACAAUGGGAUUCAAGAAAAUUGGUAAGUAAUUUUAAACAUACGUUUUGGCGUAUUAUUAACAUUAUACAUGUGUGAUUGUACUGUUGUUUUACAUACGGUUAGUAUUACUUAGUGGUGUACCGGUCGGAUCGCAGUUGAUUGAGCAUGACGGUUCGGCUCACAUGCGAUUCGCGGAUUAAUGCGCAAAUUAAAAUAGGAAACGUUUAAUCAUUUGCACGUGUUUUAAAGGCUUGCAGAUGUUAAUACCAAAGUGAUUUUAAACAAUUUCACAGCAAAAAGGCGCUAAAGUGGGCAGUUUAUAUACGCAUGCGGAUGAAAGUGUCUAUAUGCCCUUCAAAGAUCAGAACUCUUGAUGUGUAAACUUUAGCGACAGUUUUUCUACUUUGCCUCAUACUGUAGUCGAUUAAAAUGCAUUUGGCCAAUAGAGCAAUGCGACUGUUUAUGCUGCAUCUCCUUCCGGAAGCGCUGUUUGAAAUUCGCGCUCCGUUUCUGUGUAAUAUUAUGCACUCAAAACUGCACACGUGGAGAGACGAGCAAACAUAAAAUCUUUCGGUUCUUGACAGGGUCCAUACAAACAAAAUGAUCUCCAAAGUAUUCUUUUUUUUAAAUAAAAACUUUUGUUUAUGUCACAAGAUGUAGUGAACAUGUAAAUGUCUAGCAAUUAUCUAUUAUUUGUUCAGGCCAAUCAUAUCCCAUCCCUGGAGAGACAUCAGCAAACAUUAUGACAAAGACGUUUGCCUUUCGCAGACAAGAGAUUGUGGAAAACCAACCUACUGUUCAAGAACUGCAGGAAAGAUUGCCAGAGGAGAUUAAUGCAGAAUUGCGCAUCACGAUCUUACCUUGAAAAUCAAGAUUUAUGGCCUCUUUAGACAGACAGAGCUCUCAUGUUAUUAGGAGCAACGGUGGAGUCCUCCAUGAAAAACUAAGGACACUAUUAAAGUUAUGGAUCAGAGUCUGGACGUAGAAAUCAGAAGAGAAAGCCUGCUGAAGUGCCUGAUUCAUGUACGAUUCAUGUGAAGAUGCAAGCUGUCUGAUCAAAGAAUACCAGGCUGACAAGAGGGAAGAAGCGGAGAGGGAAUUCAAAAAGACCACCAUGGAAUUUUUUGUGAUCCGUGAAAGUGAUGCUCCUAAUCCUGCACUGGACAUUUUCAUUGAUGAUGUGGAGUAAUAAAUGAGUUGCCCUCUGUUGCAUGUGCAUGUUUGGACUCAUUUGAACUGAACUUAAAAUAUCCUAAUGGACUCAAAUAUACCUUUAAAGCCUUUCAAAAAAAAAUGUCAUGGACGUAGACAGUAAGCAGAUGAGCCGAAGGGUGCAGAACCCCUCUUCAAAACUGCAGGAGUAAAUUUGUUUCCUUUGACCCAGCUACUGAAGGUACAUUUUUGAGCCUUUUAUACAACAUUAACUGUAAUACUGUUUACUAAACCUGAUUUGUUUUAUCUUGAUUAAGUUUUAUGGUUUAUCUAUCAACCAUAACUGAUUCUUAUUUAGAAUUUACAUUUUAUCCAGUGUGUCUACAAAUACUAAAAACUGUUAUACAGUAUGUGUUUUUAUAACAAUACUAUACAUAUUGUUGAAAUGUUUUAUGACAAAUUGUCAAGAUUAUAAUGUGUUGACACUGUUAGACAGUGUGUAUUUGUACAAAAAAUGUAUAUUAUGACAAAAUAAAUUGUCAAAAGUU